CGAAAACAGAGUGGCAGGGUGGUGUCUCCUGCGCUGGCCUCCGGGCCGGUUCUGCACGUCCGCG
rnacentral:ncRNA from 1 species